CAGUUAAUAUAAGUGUUUGAUUAAUUAGUUUUUUGUAAGAGCUUAUUACUCUAAAAUGCAAAAUUCAAAAGGCUGCUCAAAGCAGCAUUUUCAAUCAGCUUUUUGAAAAAAGAAAUUAUCACAAACA